CGGAUUGUAGGCUGCAACUCGCCUACAUGAAGUCGGAAUUGCUAGUAAUCGCGGAUCAGCAUGCCGCGGUGAAUACGUUCCCGGGCCUUGUACACACCGCCCGUCACACCAUGGGAGUCGGUAACACCCGAAGCCUGUAGUCUAACCGCAAGGAGGACGCAGUCGAAGGUGGGAUUGAUGACUGGGGUGAAGUCGUAACAAGGUAUC
rnacentral:rRNA from 1 species